AUGUGCGAUCUCUCGCGGCCGCUGCCGUUGCUUCCGUGGCUCGCCAUCAAUCGCCAUCGCCAUCGCCAUCGCCAUCGCUUUGCUUGUUGCCUGCUUGCCGCGUCGCCGCUCUACUUCCUCAUGGCUCCUCUCGCUGCUGCUGUUGCGUUUGGGUGCCUGUGGCUGCUUUGUCGUGCGUCCGUGCGGCUGUUUGUUCCUUCUUUUCAGAGAAAUCGCACUAAUCGGUUCGUCGUCAGAUUUGCCUUGCUGUUUCAUUUACUCAAAGGAUCAUCUUUCUCUUCAGUAAAACAGACAGACCUGAAAACAGGGCAAUCCCUUGAUGUCAUCCUCGGUAAGGUUAACUAUACUGAAGAGAACCUGCUCGACUACAUUGAUCCAAACAAUGAUACACUCAUGGUGAGACUUGCCGAUGACCAUUUGGUCGCCAAGUGUCGCAUCAUGGUAGCAACUGACAAGAGGGCCACUAUAACCACCAACUGGUCUGAGUUUCGUCGUCGCGCCAACAUUCGUGAAGGAGAUGUCUGUGCAUUUCGUUUUAGGAUCAUUUCAAGGCGCCGCCUGGUUCUCACCAUGCACCACCUCUAG
rnacentral:rRNA from 1 species